rnacentral:lncRNA from 10 species
GCGGAUCUGAACUCGGCUCCUCCGGCCAAAAGGGAAGAGAUGAAAAGGUCCCGGGGCUGGCAGCUGGCGAACUGACGGGAGGGGCGCCGGGAGCGCGGUGAGGGGGGCCGCCGAGGCUGACCUGGGCUGAAAUUUAUAUAUUUAAAGAAGGAGCGGUUCGGUCCUGCCUUCCACUGCGGCGCUGAGAGCAGGAGCAGCAGCAGCUCCGGAGCAGAGAAGCGCACACGUGUGUGCGUGCGUGUGUGUGUGUGUGUGUGUGUGUGCGUGUGCGCGCGCUGGGGGCGAGCCCAGCGCACCGCGGGGAGGAGGGUGCGCUUCGCAGGGCGCUCGGUACUCGGUCGGGUGCCGCAGGGGCCGCAGAGGCUGCUGAGGCGGCGCGGAUCCUGCUCUGGGAGCUGCGCUCCGUGGCCUACACCCUGGCGGGCGCGCGCUGACCCGCUUGGUUACUCCACGUUGCUGCCGCCGCCGCUUGCAAACGCUUCCAGCCUCCAGCUCCCUCCUUCUCCUGCUCCUCCUUCUCUUGCUCCAAACGCCAACCCAGCCACAGACGAUCAGCCGUCGCGGUUGCGUUCACCCCCUGCGGAUCACAACGGCAGCCCUUGCGACACCCUGGCUGGGGAGUUUUAUUCCUGAGGGGGUUGCGCAGGGGCUCCCUUGGACUCCCACCCUUUCCCAACCUCUGCUGGCUUCUCCCCAACGUGGAAUUGCUCGCUUAGGGAGCUUCUGGAGCUCCGCUCGGAGCGAACCUUCUGCUGCCAGCAGAUAACAUCACGAUCUUGCCGGGGAGGGGAGAUUUAUAAGUUCUCUCUGAACCACGUGUCUGCCUUCAACAAAGUGACGUGCUAGGAUUACAGUCAGAAGUCCUCUCGUUACUUAGACCACGAGCUCUCCCCGAACCGUUGAGGGAGUGUGGAAAUGAGGACCGCUGUGGUUACUCAAAGUCAACAUUUUCAUUUCGGCAUGACUCUGCAGCCAUACUGACCAGACAGAUGAUUUAAACUGGAAACUCUGUUGAAUGUACUCCCAAACCCAAGAUCUCUAUACUGUUCUCUACUUCAGAUGUUCCUGAGUUCAGAAAAGUCACAAAGAACUUUCUAUCACUUUUGGAAUUUAUACUUCAGUUGUGUAUGGGGCCUAGGUUAUUAGUAGAGCACUGAAUAAAUAAAAUAAUAAUAGCUAACAUAUACUACACUUAGUAAUUUGAUGUGUGUUGUGUAUGGUCAUUUAAUCUUCA